AGUAUGAGAAAAAAAAGGAAGAAAAUGAGUGGUGGUUGCGGUGGCACACGGUGGUUGUCGCGGUGGUGGAAGAUGGAGCUAAAGAUGACAUUGGAACAAAAAAAAGAAAAGGAGGAUGGAUGAUGAAGUGGUGGUGUUUAGGUCGAAUGGUGGUGGCUAACGGUGGGGGAAAGGAGGCCAAAAUCAAAAUAAUAGUGGUUCAAGGUGGUGUAAAAGGAGAGGAGGAGAAAAGAGAGAGAGAAGCAAAAGAGGAGGAUGGAAAAAAUGAAUAGGAAACAACAAAAGGUGUCAUUCAUCUUGUCUAGG
rnacentral:lncRNA from 1 species